AGUGAACGCUGGCGGUAGGCCUAACACAUGCAAGUCGAACGGCAGCACAGAGGAGCUUGCUCCUUGGGUGGCGAGUGGCGGACGGGUGAGGAAUACAUCGGAAUCUACUCUGUCGUGGGGGAUAACGUAGGGAAACUUACGCUAAUACCGCAUACGACCUACGGGUGAAAGCAGGGGAUCUUCGGACCUUGCGCGAUUGAAUGAGCCGGUGUCGGAUUAGCUAGUUGGCGGGGUAAAGGCCCACCAAGGCGACGAUCCGUAGCUGGUCUGAGAGGAUGAUCAGCCACGCUGGAACUGAGAAACGGUCCAGACUCCUACGGGAGGCAGCAGUGGGGAAUAGUGGACAAUGGGCGCAAGCCUGAGCCAGCCAUACCGCGUGGGUGAAGAAGGCCUUCGGGUUGUAAAGCCCUUUUGUUGGGAAAGAAAUCCAUCUGGUUAAUACCCGGAUGGGAUGACGGUACCCAAAGAGUAAGCACCGGCUAACUUCGUGCCAGCCGCCGCCGUAA
rnacentral:rRNA from 1 species